GACGAACGCUGGCGGCGUGCCUAAUACAUGCAAGUAGAACGCACAGUUUAUACCGUAGCUUGCUACACCAUAGACUGUGAGUUGCGAACGGGUGAGUAACGCGUAGGUAACCUGCCCGGUAGCGGGGGAUAACUAUUGGAAACGAUAGCUAAUACCGCAUAAUAUUGAUUAUUGCAUGAUAAUUGAUUGAAAGAUGCUAUUGCAUCACUACCAGAUGGACCUGCGUUGUAUUAGCUAGUAGGUGAGGUAACGGCUCACCUAGGCGACGAUACAUAGCCGACCUGAGAGGGUGAUCGGCCACACUGGGACUGAGACACGGCCCAGACUCCUACGGGAGGCAGCAGUAGGGAAUCUUCGGCAAUGGACGAAAGUCUGACCGAGCAACGCCGCGUGAGUGAAGAAGGUUUUCGGAUCGUAAAGCUCUGUUGUAAGAGAAGAACGGGUGUGAGAGUGGAAAGUUCACACUGUGACGGUAUCUUACCAGAAAGGGACGGCUAACUACGUG
rnacentral:rRNA from 1 species